UCCAAAAUCAUCACUCUGUUCUCUUUUAAUCUCCUAGGUUUCUGUUCCAAAUCAUUCCACUUUUCUUGCUGGUUAUCUUUACUAUGAUUUGUGCCCAAGGCUUGUUGCAAAUGGACGGUUAAUAGAGGAGUGCUGAAAUGGUGACCAUAUGCUACUUUGAGGGCUCAAGAAUGUUUUGAUGCAUAGAGACACUAAUCUAUGUUAGAACUUUUAUGUUUUGGUUGAACUUUUAUGUUAGAACUUUUAUGUUUUUGUUGAACUAAUCAAUGUACUCACUAGUUAAUGUUAUUUUGUUUCAAGACAAUUUUAGCUUAAAGGAUCUUGUUUGACUUA